rnacentral:rRNA from 1 species
AUUGAACGCUGGCGGCAGGCCUAACACAUGCAAGUCGAAUGGUAACAGGAAACAGCUUGCUGUUUCGCUGACGAGUGGCGGACGGGUGAGUAAUGUCUGGGAGACUGCCUGAUGGAGGGGGAUAACUACUGGAAACGGUAGCUAAUACCGCAUAACGUCGCAAGACCAAAGAGGGGGACCUUCGGGCCUCUUGCCAUCAGAUGUGCCCAGAUGGGAUUAGCUAGUAGGUGGGGUAACGGCUCACCUAGGCGACGAUCCCUAGCUGGUCUGAGAGGAUGACCAGCCACACUGGAACUGAGACACGGUCCAGACUCCUACGGGAGGCAGCAGUGGGGAAUAUUGCACAAUGGGCGCAAGCCUGAUGCAGCCAUGCCGCGUGUAUGAAGAAGGCCUUCGGGUUGUAAAGUACUUUCAGCGGGGAGGAAGGGAGUAAAGUUAAUACCUUUGCUCAUUGACGUUACCCGCAGAAGAAGCACCGGCUAACUCCGUG